rnacentral:rRNA from 1 species
AUUGAACGCUGGCGGCAGGCUUAACACAUGCAAGUCGAACGAGUGGCGGACGGGUGAGUAAUGCUUGGGAAUCUGGCCUAUGGAGGGGGAUAACGACGGGAAACUGUCGAUAAUACCGCGUACCAUAGGAUGAGCCCAAGUGGGAUUAGCUCGGAGGUGGGGUAACGGCUCACCUAGGAGACGAUCUCUAGCUGGUCUGAGAGGAUGACCAUCCACACUGGAACUGAGACAAGGUCCAGACUCCUACGGUAGGCAGCAGUGGGGAAUAUUGCACAAUGGGCGAAAGCCUGAUGCAGCCAUGCCGCGUGUGUGAAGAAGGCCUUCGGGUUGUAAAGCACUUUCAGCGGGGAGGCGUUACCCGCAGAAGAAGCACCGGCUAACUCCGUGCCAGCAGCCGCGGUAAUUC